AUCAGGUGACACCACUGCCCCUGCCAGGGUGGAUCCCAGUUAAUUGAGCUUGUCACCUCCCCAUCCCUGGCUCCUCUCAUUCAGAGCAGUCUGUAAAGGCACAGACCUUGCCAGCCAGAAGCACACUAUUAGUAGCACUGUUAUUAUUAGCCAGUCUUGUAUUUAUUUUUUAGGAAGUCCUACUGCUGGACUGCAGACCUGCCUGCAAUGCUCUUCCAAGGGGGGGCUGGGGAGGGCAGACUCCCCGGCACCAAACCCAUCAUUAAUCUAUUUUGAAAACAAGAUUGUGUUUUCCAAAUAGCACUGCAUGACUCGCUCCCAUUCUGCCAACACAUUUUUAUGGUGGUUUGGGAUUUUUAGGGGGUUUCUCGGUGAUGGGGGAGGAGCUUAAUGACUGAUAAGUGUACUAGUGUGCUUGCAGCCAGCCCGGAAUAGAGCCUGUGGAAUAAAACCCUCCUGCAUGGGCUGGGCAGCAAAGUUCUCUUAGGGCUGUAAUGCAUUGCAGCUGCAGAUGUGUCCAGUGCAGUAUGCAGCAGUAUCUGGAGGCAGCAGCAUCAGUGGCCCUGCCCAAGUGCAGGGGUCCCAGCUGUGUCCCUGCUGGGACUGAAGAAAGUCCCAGCUGCUGCAGGGAAAGGAGCCUUCCCCCCAGGACAGAGUCGGGCCGGCUCAGGAGAACGUGAGUGUGCUGCAAAACCAAUCUCGGGGACAGGCUACUGGGUGCUUCGCUCAUUUGGAACAGCAUUGUGCUUAUUCAUCUUUGUGCAAUGUCCCCUGUGAUUGCACACGGCUGCAUGCAAUACUGGGGAAGUUAGGAGAAAUUCAAUUAUAUUGAUUUACGGAAGAAAGAGACAAUAACAAAUGUAAUGGGUAGUUGCUAUUCCAUAUUUUAUCGUGAGCCAUUAAGACUUCGGGUUCUAAUAUCCUCUACCUUUAGAAUGAAAUUAAAACAAUCAUUUUCAGGGUGAGGUGCUUCUCCACGCGGAGCCUGGAGCUGCCAGCUAACCAAGCGUUGACACACAUAAAUCAAGACCUCCUCAAAUCUGGGUGCCCUCAGAUGCUUGCUGGAAAUCAACCAGAGAAGGUUCCUCUCAGUAAAGGUGCUUCUUGGUACAAAAGAUGCCGAGCAGGUUGCACACUCAUAUUGCACACCUAGUCAUGGGCUGCAUAAAUACACAGUGGCAAUCUGAGUCUGAGGAGGUCUCUGUUUAACAUCCAUGCUUCAAAGACCUAGCUUCUACUUAUUGUUUAGGAGAGCAGAGCCUACAGCAGGGAAAUAGAAAACUCUAAGUUAAGCUGAAGCAAGCAGAGAAUUGUACUGGGCUGUAGCAUGUUCCAGCUCCCAAUGACCAAAACCUGAUUGAUUUUAGGGGAGACCUGGGGGGGGGAAAAGGUUUUUUGAGAGAGGUAACAAAACCAAUCACCCAGAUCUUGAGGCUACCAGCUGAGAAAUGCCUGGCAUCUCCCACUGCUGGAUACACAUAUCACUAGAGGCAGCUUGAUGUGCUGCUGCUCUGACACCAGGUGUACAGCUCCCUUCCCACAAGGAAUAAAUCCCUGAGCCUCUCCUAACCAGCUUUCUUCCUCUGACUCACCUCUCAUCAGAUUUUGCAGUACCAUGAUGGUCCAGA